GACGAACGCUGGCGGCGCGCCUAACACAUGCAAGUCGAACGAGCGAGAGAGAGCUUGCUUUCUCGAGCGAGUGGCGAACGGGUGAGUAACGCGUGAGGAACCUGCCUCAAAGAGGGGGACAACAGUUGGAAACGACUGCUAAUACCGCAUAAGCCCACGGUGCCGCAUGGCACAGAGGGAAAAGGAGCAAUCCGCUUUGAGAUGGCCUCGCGUCCGAUUAGCUAGUUGGUGAGGUAAUGGCCCACCAAGGCGACGAUCGGUAGCCGGACUGAGAGGUUGAACGGCCACAUUGGGACUGAGACACGGCCCAGACUCCUACGGGAGGCAGCAGUGGGGAAUAUUGCACAAUGGGGGAAACCCUGAUGCAGCGACGCCGCGUGGAGGAAGAAGGUCUUCGGAUUGUAAACUCCUGUUGUUGGGGAAGAUAAUGACGGUACCCAACAAGAAAGUGACGGCUAACU
rnacentral:rRNA from 1 species